rnacentral:rRNA from 1 species
AUUUACUCAAAAAUCAGGUAGUACAAAUCAUGAAAACCUAUGUAGAUUGGCGGCAUUUAAUCUUAUUAGAGGAAUAUGUUUAUUAAUCGACAAUACACGUUAAAUUUCACUUAUAAUUAAAUCCUAUAUACCUCCGUCUCUAAGAAUAAAUUUAUAAAAUUAUACUCUAAAUAAUAUUAUAAAAAGUUAGGUAAAGGUGUAGACUAUUUUUAAGUUUAAAUGUAUUACAUUAAAUAAAAUUUAAAGACACUUAAAAAUAUUUAAGUUCAAUAAGGAUUUAAAAGUAAAUCAUAAAUAAUAACUAGAUUUGAAUAAGAAAAAUAAUGUGC